UACGUAGGGUCCGAGCGUUGUCCGGAAUUAUUGGGCGUAAAGAGCUCGUAGGCGGUCUGUCACGUCGGCUGUGAAAAACCCGGGGCUCAACUCCGGGCCUGCAGUCGAUACGGGCUGGCUUGAGUGCGGUAGGGGAGACUGGAAUUCCUGGUGUAACGGUGAAAUGCGCAGAUAUCAGGAGGAACACCAGUGGCGAAGGCGGCUUCCUGGACCGGUUCUGACGCUGAUGCGCGAAAGCGUGGGGAGCAAACAGG
rnacentral:rRNA from 1 species